rnacentral:rRNA from 1 species
CCUACGGGAGGCAGCAGUGGGGAAUAUUGGGCAAUGGAGGAAACUCUGACCCAGCGACGCCGCGUGCGGGAUGAAGGCCUUCGGGUUGUAAACCGCUUUCAGCAGGGAAGAAGCGAAAGUGACGGUACCUGCAGAAGAAGCACCGGCUAACUAUGUGCCAGCAGCCGCGGUAAUACAUAGGGUGCAAGCGUUGUCCGGAAUUAUUGGGCGUAAAGAGCUCGUAGGUGGUUCGUCACGUCGGAUGUGAAAAUCUGGGGCUUAACCCCAGACCUGCAUUCGAUACGGGCGAGCUUGAGUAUGGUAGGGGAGUCUGGAAUUCCUGGUGUAGCGGUGGAAUGCGCAGAUAUCAGGAGGAACACCAAUGGCGAAGGCAGGACUCUGGGCCAUUACUGACACUGAGGAGCGAAAGCGUGGGGAGCGAACAGGAUUAGAUACCCUGGUAGUCCACGCCGUAAACGGUGGGCACUAGUUGUGGGGACCUUCCACGGUCUCCGCGACGCAGCUACGCAUAAGUGCCCGCCGUCGGGAGGACGAGCGCGAGAUAAACUACAAGAAGUAGACGGCGUGAGACGUGCCGAACGACGACGACGAGGGAGUAGG